rnacentral:misc_RNA from 1 species
CAACCCUCACGCCCCUAGGGCGUGGUGUUGGGGAUCGGCCAGCGCCCGCGAGGGACGGCCGGCCCCUAAAUCUAGUGGCGGACCCGUCGUGGCCUCCCCUGCGAAGUAGUGAUAUUCCGCAUAGGAGAGCGACGAGCCCCUGCCGUUAAACCCCAACUUCUGAA